rnacentral:rRNA from 1 species
GGGAGGCAGCAGUUGGGGAAUAUUGCGCAAUGGGGGAAACCUGACGCACGACGCCGCGUGGAGGAUGAAGGCCUUCGGGUUGUAAACUCCUUUUCUCGGGGAAAAUUAUGAUGGUACCCGAGGAAUAAGCCACGGCUAACUCUGUGCCAGCAGCCGCGGUAAGACAGAGGUGGCGAGCGUUGUUCGGAAUUACUGGGCUUAAAGGGCGAGUAGGCGGUAAAGCAAGUCUGAUGUGGAAUCCUAUGGCUUAACCAUAGAACUGCCUCAGAAACUGCUUUACUUGAGUCAGUGAGGGGAGGGCGGAAUUCCUGGUGUAGCGGUGAAAUGCGUAGAUAUCAGGAGGAAGGCCUGUGGCGAAGGCGGCCCUCUGGUACUGGACUGACGCUGAGGCGCGAAAGCGUGGGGAGCAAACAGGAUUAGAUACCCUGGUAGUCCACGCCCUAAACGGUGGGCAUUAGGUGUAGGGCUCGUAAGGGUUCUGUGCCGAAGGAAACCAUUAAAUGCCCCGCCUGGGGAAUACGGCCGCAAGGUUGAAACUCAAAUGAAUUGACGG